AGGCACGUAGCUCAGCUGGUUAGAGCAUCACCUUGACAUGGUGGGGGUCGUUGGUUCGAGUCCAAUUGUGCCUACCA
rnacentral:tRNA from 1 species